AGAGUUUGAUCCUGGCUCAGGACGAACGCUGGCGGCGUGCUUAACACAUGCAAGUCGAACGAAGCUUGAUUACGGAUUCUUCGGAUGAAGUAUGAUAUGACUGAGUGGCGGACGGGUGAGUAACGCGUGAGUAACCUGCCCUUCAGAGGGGGAUAGCGUUUGGAAACGAACGGUAAUACCGCAUAAUGUAUUUUGACCGCAUGAUCGAAAUACCAAAGAUUUAUCGCUGAAGGAUGGACUCGCGUCUGAUUAGGUAGUCGGUGGGGUAACGGCCUACCAAGCCGACGAUCAGUAGCCGGACUGAGAGGUUGAUCGGCCACAUUGGGACUGAGACACGGCCCAGACUCCUACGGGAGGCAGCAGUGGGGAAUAUUGCACAAUGGGGGAAACCCUGAUGCAGCGACGCCGCGUGGAGGAAGAAGGUCUUCGGAUUGUAAACUCCUGUUGUUGAGGAAGAUAAUGACGGUACUCAACAAGGAAGUGACGGCUAACUACGUGCCAGCAGCCGCGGUAAAACGUAGGUCACAAGCGUUGUCCGGAAUUACUGGGUGUAAAGGGAGCGCAGGCGGGCGAUCAAGUUGGAAGUGAAAUCCAUGGGCUCAACCCAUGAACUGCUUUCAAAACUGAUUGUCUUGAGUAGUGCAGAGGUAGGCGGAAUUCCCGGUGUAGCGGUGGAAUGCGUAGAUAUCGGGAGGAACACCAGUGGCGAAGGCGGCCUACUGGGCACCAACUGACGCUGAGGCUCGAAAGUGUGGGUAGCAAACAGGAUUAGAUACCCUGGUAGUCCACACCGUAAACGAUGAUUACUAGGUGUUGGAGGAUUGACCCCUUCAGUGCCGCAGUUAACACAAUAAGUAAUCCACCUGGGGAGUACGACCGCAAGGUUGAGACUCAAAGGAAUUGACGGGGGCCCGCACAAGCAGUGGAGUAUGUGGUUUAAUUCGACGCAACGCGAAGAACCUUACCAAGUCUUGACAUCCUGCGACGAUGCUAGAAAUAGUAUUUUCCUUCGGGACGCAGAGACAGGUGGUGCAUGGUUGUCGUCAGCUCGUGUCGUGAGAUGUUGGGUUAAGUCCCGCAACGAGCGCAACCCUUAUGGUCAGUUACUACGCAAGAGGACUCUGGCCAGACUGCCGUUGACAAAACGGAGGAAGGUGGGGAUGACGUCAAAUCAUCAUGCCCUUUAUGACUUGGGCUACACACGUACUACAAUGGCGUUAAACAAAGAGAAGCAAGACCGCGAGGUGGAGCAAAACUCAGAAACAACGUCCCAGUUCGGACUGCAGGCUGCAACUCGCCUGCACGAAGUCGGAAUUGCUAGUAAUCGUGGAUCAGCAUGCCACGGUGAAUACGUUCCCGGGCCUUGUACACACCGCCCGUCACACCAUGAGAGCCGGGGGGACCCGAAGUCGGUAGUCUAACCGCAAGGAGGACGCCGCCGAAGGUAAAACUGGUGAUUGGGGUGAAGUCGUAACAAGGUA
rnacentral:rRNA from 1 species